GACGAACGCUAGCGGCGUGCUUAACACAUGCAAGUCGAACGAUGAACUUGGAGCUUGCUCUGGGGGAUUAGUGGCGAACGGGUGAGUAACACGUGAGUAACCUGCCCUGGACUCUGGGAUAACUUCGAGAAAUCGGAGCUAAUACCGGAUAGGACCUUGCACCGCAUGGUGUGGGGUGGAAAGUUUUUCGGUUUGGGAUGGACUCGCGGCCUAUCAGCUUGUUGGUGAGGUAAGGGCUCACCAAGGCGUCGACGGGUAGCCGGCCUGAGAGGGUAACCGGCCACACUGGGACUGAGACACGGCCCAGACUCCUACGGGAGGCAGCAGUGGGGAAUAUUGCACAAUGGGCGCAAGCCUGAUGCAGCAACGCCGCGUGCGGGAUGACGGCCUUCGGGUUGUAAACCGCUUUUAGUAGGGAAGAAGCCUUCGGGUGACGGUACCUGCAGAAAAAGGACCGGCUAACUACGUGCCAGCCGCCGCAGUAAGAC
rnacentral:rRNA from 1 species